rnacentral:rRNA from 1 species
CUUUAUGGCCAUAUCACCCUGAAUGCAACUGAUCUCGUCUAAUCUUUGAAGCUAAGCAGAGUCGGUCCUGGUUAGUACUUGGAUAGAAGACAUCAGCACCUUUAUGU